GUGCCAGCAGCCGCGGUAAUACAGAGGGUGCGAGCGUUAAUCGGAAUUACUGGGCGUAAAGAGCGCGUAGGUGGGUAAUUAAGUUGGAUGUAAAAGCCCUGGGCUUAACCUAGGAACGUCAUCCAAUACUGGUUAUCUAGAGUACAGUAGAGGCAAGUGGAAUUUCCGGUGUAGCGGUGAAAUGCGUAGAUAUCGGAAGGAACAUCAGUGGCGAAGGCGACUUUCUGGACUGAUACUGACACUGAGGCGCGAAAGCGUGGGGAGCAAACAGGAUUAGAUACCCUGGUAGUCCACGCUGUAAACGAUGAGAACUAGCUGUUGGAGGAAUAAAAUCCUUUAGUGGCGCAGCUAACGCGAUAAGUUCUCCGCCUGGGGAGUACGACCGCAAGGUUAAA
rnacentral:rRNA from 1 species